GGGGGACUCAGCACCGGGGGGCGGAUGAAGGGAAGGCCCCUCCAGGACGCGAGGGCCGGCCUCCAAGGCCGCCGGGACCCGCGCUCAGGAGGGACCCGGUGCCGGAGGGGACCCCGCGCCAGCCCCCAGCCCGCCGCGACGCGCGGCGUUGCUCCCGGGGCGGGCCGGCCCGGUCCCCAAGACGCGGCCUCGGCCGCCACCCUCCGCGCGGGCACGCCCCUCUCGCUCUUCUCACCGCGACCGCCAGGAACCGCGAGCAGGCGUGAGGAUCCCGGGGCGUCCAGCUCCUCGGUCACCAAGGUGGCUGGGACCCCACGCGGCCGCCCCAGCUCUCCCGCAGCGAGAGAAGGUGCCCGGCCGCGUGAUGCAGGGGUCCGGGGAUGGUGGCAGAGUGUCGGCGACCCCAGGGGACGCUGGAGCGCAGGACAGGGCGCGCAGCUCAAAGCCAGAUAGACUAUUUUGUUUCCUUACAAACCUGAUAUGACAUAAUAAAGAAGUAAGUAAACAGAUAA